GAGUUUGAUCUUGGCUCAGGAUGAGCGCUGGCGGCGUGCCUAAUACAUGCAAGUCGAGCGGUAAGGCUCCUUCGGGAGUACACGAGCGGCGGACGGGCUGAGUAACACGUAGGAACGUACCCCAAAGUGAGGGAUAACUGCUCGAAAGAGUAGCUAAUACCGCAUGUGAUCCACGGAUUAAAGCUUUAUGCGCUUUGGGAACGGCCUGCGUCCGAUUAGCUAGUUGGUAGAGUAAAAGCCUACCAAGGCGACGAUCGGUAGCUGGUCUGAGAGGAUGAUCAGCCAGACUGGGACUGAGACACGGCCCAGACUCCUACGGGAGGCAGCAGUAGGGAAUUUUCCACAAUGGGCGAAAGCCUGAUGGAGCAACGCCGCGUGCAGGAUGAAUGUCUUCGGAUUGUAAACUGCUUUUGUUGGUGACGAUUAUGACGGUAACCAACGAAUAAGGGUCUGCUAACUACGUGCCAGCAGCCGCGGUAAC
rnacentral:rRNA from 1 species